rnacentral:tRNA from 1 species
GCUGGAGUGGUGGAAUUGGCAGACACGCACGGUUCAGGGCCGUGUGCCGCAAGGCAUGAGGGUUCAAGUCCCUCCUCCAGCA